rnacentral:rRNA from 1 species
UACGAAGGGGGCUAGCGUUGUUCGGAUUUACUGGGCGUAAAGCGCACGUAGGCGGAUCGUUAAGUCGGGGGUGAAAUCCUGGAGCUCAACUCCAGAACUGCCUUUGAUACUGGCGAUCUUGAGUUCGGGAGAGGUGAGUGGAACUGCGAGUGUAGAGGUGAAAUUCGUAGAUAUUCGCAAGAACACCAGUGGCGAAGGCGGACUCACUGGCCCGAUACUGACGCUGACGGUGCGAAAGCGUGGGGAGCGAACAGG